rnacentral:rRNA from 1 species
AACGAACGCUGGCGGCAGGCUUAACACAUGCAAGUCGAACGCCCCGCAAGGGGAGUGGCAGACGGGUGAGUAACGCGUGGGAAUCUACCCAGUUCUACGGAAUAACCCAGGGAAACUUGGACUAAUACCGUAUACGCCCUACGGGGGAAAGAUUUAUCGGAAUUGGAUGAGCCCGCGUUGGAUUAGCUAGGUGGUGGGGUAAUGGCCUACCAAGGCGACGAUCCAUAGCUGGUCUGAGAGGAUGAUCAGCCACACUGGGACUGAGACACGGCCCAGACUCCUACGGGAGGCAGCAGUGGGGAAUAUUGGACAAUGGGCGCAAGCCUGAUCCAGCCAUGCCGCGUGAGUGAUGAAGGCCUUAGGGUUGUAAAGCUCUUUCAGUGGGGACGAUAAUGACGGUACCCACAGAAGAAGCCCCGGCUAACUUCGUGCCAGCCGCCGCGGUAAAAC